UCUCCAGGUUCCCCCGUGUGACUCCCAGUGAACCCACGGCCUUUUCCUUACAUAACCAAGCACUAUUGUGAGUGGUACUGCUUGCCUGAAGCCUGGGAGGAUUGUGAAACAUGUCAGACAAAGUGGAGUAAAGGAACCUGAUG
ensembl:scaRNA